rnacentral:rRNA from 2 species
UACGGAGGGUGCAAGCGUUAUCCGGAUUCACUGGGUUUAAAGGGUGCGUAGGUGGUUUUGUAAGUCAGUGGUGAAAGCCCGGAGCUUAACUCCGGAACUGCCAUUGAUACUGCUUAACUUGAAUCAACUUGAGGUGGAUGGAAUAUUACAUGUAGCGGUGAAAUGCUUAGAUAUGUAAUAGAACACCGAUUGCGAAGGCAGUUCACUAAGGUUGUAUUGACACUGAGGCACGAAAGCGUGGGGAUCAAACAGG